rnacentral:rRNA from 1 species
GGGGAAUUUUGGACAAUGGGCGAAAGCCUGACGCAGCAACGCCGCGUGCGGGAUGAAGGCCUUCGGGUUGUACACCGCUUUCAGCAGGGACGAAGGUUUUCUGACGGUACCUGCAGAAGAAGCACCGGCUAACUACGUUCCAGCAGCCGCGGUGAUACGUAGGGUGCGAGCGUCGUCCGGAAUUAUUGGGCGUAAAGAGCUUGUAGGCGGUCUGUUGCGUCGGAAGUGAAAACUCAGGGCUUAACCCUGAGCCUGCUUUCGAUACGGGCAGACUUGAGGGAUGUAGGGGAGAACGGAAUUCCUGGUGGAGCGGUGGAAUGCGCAGAUAUCAGGAGGAACACCAGUGGCGAAGGCGGUUCUCUGGACAUUUCCUGACGCUGAGAAGCGAAAGCUUGGGGAGCAAACA